CUGCGGGGCCCUGUCGGCGGCGGGGCCUGCGGACCCGGGAGCGCGCGGCUGCGCUGCACGUGCAGGGACCUGGCUGCGCCGGGGUCAGCGCGAGCGUUUGAUGUGCGGCGGGGAGUGGGCCGGGCCCCGGGAGGGCGCUUCGCACCUCCCCGUGUGUCCGGGUUGAGCGCGAGGUCAGGAGGCGACGCGGAGUUCACGGCGAAGACGGAUCGCGGGGGCUCGUCCCGCCCGGGUUGCGCGCAGCGGUGGCCGCGUGAUGGAUGGGCCGGACCGGGCACCCGGGAACCCGCGAGCGCGGGGCUGGGCUCGGGGCUGGGUCGGGGGGCCCCGACUCGGUUAUUGAUCGGCCCGAGCGCAGGAGAACUGACUCUAUAAUGUAUAAUGCAUCGCCUGCCCGGGAAAAGUGUUUGCUUUUGUGGGAGCAAAAGGCAACUUUCUGCCCCGCCAGAGCGUUGCUAAGUGAGCGGUAAUGACCACGCUAGAAAUUUCAUAGGGAGAGGCUAAUGGCAGGCUCACUCUAAAAGUGCUUUUAUGUGCAACUUCUGUCUAAUCCCUUGAGGAGGAAGAAAACAUCGGCGACUAAGAAAGUUCAAGUUGUGCAGGGCCUGGGCUUUUAGGGUCGGAGUCACUUCUGCUCUGCGUGACUUUGAAGAGGAGGACCUGUGGUUUUUUUCCAGUGGAUUUCCACACGUGUUUUAAAGAGAACUCCCGGCCUCUGAAAUGAAAGGCCCGCCUGUAGGGUUUUGCUGCCUCCCCGCUGCCCACGCCCCACCCCCACAGCCUGGAUCCAAGCGAGCAGACAAAUUAUUCAGAAGUAACACAGCCCUGAAAUGUUCCUAACCGUGACUAUUUGAGGCGAUGGAUCAAGCGUGCUUCUCCCGCCCCCAACCCACCCCCAGGCCGAAAAUGUGACUCUGGAAACGGACUUGCAGAGCUGGCUUCGGUUUCUGUACGUUUCUGACCCCUGUUGACUUUAGGACAAGGCUUCCUGUUUCCAGGACUGCAGCAUCGCCAGACAGCCUCGCCAUGCAAUCGGCUUUGCAGUUGGACGUUCCAGAUACGAUUUCAUUCCUUACCAAAGACACUUCUUCAGGACGAUUUUAGGAUUCUAUCAACGCUAGCAAAGGAGCUACUUAAACACGUUGAUUUGUAUCGCUUUCCCUGACAAUGAAACAUUGAAGUGGAAUACUACUCAUCAAUAAAAAACUAUAAACUCCUGAUAUACUUCAUGAAUGGAUGGAUAGAUGGAUGGAUGGAUCUGAAAAACAUCAUGAUGAAUAGCCAUGAAGCCAGACAUGAAAGAGUACAUACAAUAUGGUUUCUUUGAUCUGAGGUUCUGGAACAGGCUACCACUGCCAGGAGCAUGCUGGCCUGCCUGCGGGAGGAACAGAUGCCAGAGGAGACCUGAGUGUGUCCUCAAGGCCAUGCCCCAUCAAUCCCAGCAGAGCCCACAGCCGCCUGCAGAGGAAUGAGGCCCCCCACCCAGGAUCGCCAGAACCACACAACUCGCAACUGUGUGAGGAGUAAUGGACAAAAUUUUGAACUGUGAGCCUUUGGGCCUGGGGAGGUUUGUGAUGCAGCAGUAGCUCCCAGACCCUUGAAGCUCUUCCGCACGAAGGUGCUGAGCCGUGCACCUAGGCAAUGCCAGACUCUGCACUAGGCCCGCCGGGGUGUGCAGAGAGAGAGAGCUGAACAAACUGCGGUUCCACCCAGAAGACCCAGAAGAACAUUCACUGAGCAGCCAGUGCAAGAGGUGAGAGCGCAUGCGUGGAGACGCUCACGCUUGUGGUGUAGAAAAGGAGGCCAGAGGCUCCCAGACCAUGAUUCCUUUCCUUUAGGUGUUUCUUGCGCAUUUUCAAUCCUAAAUCUCUUCACAUAUUAUGGAGAUUUCUGAUUGAAUGUCCCCGUUUCCCCUUAGACAGCAGGCCCUGUGUGAGUCGCCACCUCCAUCUUCCUAUGUCCUGGGUGUGGGCUCAGUGAAGGACAGUUGUGGAAAUUUAGAGAGAAGAGGUCGCCGGGGUGGUGGGGACGGCGAAGCUUCAGAGGAGAAAAGAAGCGUGGUGGAGAGGGUAGACUCUGGAAGCCACUGCAGAGCUCUCCCCCAGGCUAUGAGCAGGGCAUGAUGGUCCCAAUAGCCUGCAUCUGUGUUCAUUUCAACUGGCUGUCUUGUGACAAGGAAGACGGGCCAGGUUCCCAGUGGGAAAUCUACGGUGAUCAUUAAGAGUGCAGGGCCUGAGAUGAACCCUGGCAGGUGAAAGACACCUGGUUUUGUGCAAGCUGGUUUUGCAGAAGCCUGUGGGAGGGGCCCCAGGGGGAAGGGAGCAGAGGGCAGUGUUGGCUCUGGUUCCCCGACCAGGCAGGUGGGCUAGCACCUGGGUGAGGAGCUUUGCAUCUGGAGCCCGACAUGCCUCAGUCCGGAUCCUGCCUUUAUCAGCUUAUGAUCUGUUACCUGCCAGUGGAUAUGACGAGGACUAAAUUAAGGAAAGUGAUCAAGUCAUCUUCGUUCAUUGCCCACCACAGAGCAGGCACUCAGUGGAGAGCACUCACCACCAUCUAUGCUACUAAUGCUGUGUCUGCGGCCCUUGGUUUUCUGGAAAGACUUGAGAGUACAGGGGCAGGUUAGGGACCACAACCAGGAAGCAAGACAUAUCUGAGAGAAUGCAUGGGAGCUUAUGGAAGGAUGUACAAGGCCAGUUGUGGGGAUCCUGGCAUUUCGGGAGGCUAAGAUGAAAGGAUCACUUGCAUCCAGGAGUUCAAGCCUAGCCUGGCAACAUAGUGAGACCCCCGGCUCUAUGAAAAAUCAAAAAUCAACUGGGCAUGGUGGCAUGUGCCUGUAAUCCAAGCUACCCAGGAAGCAGAGA